AGACUCAUCCCUCUGGGUUUUCCCAGAGUGUGAUGGAUUUGGGUGUUUGCCAUUAGCCUGGCUCGCCUUAAUAGCUUAAGCGGUUUCUACCGGACGUAAUAAGUUUCGUUCAAUCUGGACCGCUCAUAAUCCUCAUCCUGUUUUACAGGUGAACCUCAUGAUCUGACCUCAAAUCAGGUAGGGCUACCCGCUGAACUUAA
rnacentral:misc_RNA from 1 species